CACUAUCGUUAACUGAAUACAUAGGUUAACGAGGCGAACCGGGGGAACUGAAACAUCUAAGUAACCCCGCGGAAAAGAAAUCAACCGAGAUUCCCCCAGUAGCGGCGAGCGAACGGGGAGCAGCCCAGAGUCUGAAUCAGCUUGUGUGUUAGUGGAACGGUCUGGAAAGUCCGACGGUACAGGGUGAUAGUCCCGUACACCAAAAUGCACAGGUUGUGAACUCGAAGAGUAGGGCGGGACACGUGGUAUCCUGUCUGAAUAUGGGGGGACCAUCCUCCAAGGCUAAAUACUCCUGACUGACCGAUAGUGAACCAGUACCGUGAGGGAAAGGCGAAAAGAACCCCGGCGAGGGGAGUGAAAAAGAACCUGAAACCGUGUACGUACAAGCAGUGGGAGCACCUUCGGGUGUGACUGCGUACCUUUUGUAUAAUGGGUCAGCGACUUAUAUUCUGUAGCAAGGUUAACCGUAUAGGGGAGCCGCAGGGAAACCGAGUCUUAACUGGGCGUUAAGUUGCAGGGUAUAGACCCGAAACCCGGUGAUCUAGCCAUGGGCAGGUUGAAGGUUGGGUAACACUAACUGGAGGACCGAACCGACUAAUGUUGAAAAAUUAGCGGAUGACUUGUGGCUGGGGGUGAAAGGCCAAUCAAACCGGGAGAUAGCUGGUUCUCCCCGAAAGCUAUUUAGGUAGCGCCUCGUGAAUUCAUCUUCGGGGGUAGAGCACUGUUUCGGCUAGGGGGUCAUCCCGACUUACCAACCCGAUGCAAACUACGAAUACCGAAGAAUGUUAUCACGGGAGACACACGGCGGGUGCUAACGUCCGUCGUGAAGAGGGAAACAACCCAGACCGCCAGCUAAGGUCCCAAAGUCAUGGUUAAGUGGGAAACGAUGUGGGAAGGCACAGACAGCCAGGAUGUUGGCUUAGAAGCAGCCAUCAUUUAAAGAAAGCGUAAUAGCUCACUGGUCGAGUCGGCCUGCGCGGAAGAUGUAACGGGGCUAAACCAUGCACCGAAGCUGCGGCAGCGACACUAUGUGUUGUUGGGUAGGGGAGCGUUCUGUAAGCCUGCGAAGGUGUGCUGUGAGGCAUGCUGGAGGUAUCAGAAGUGCGAAUGCUGACAUAAGUAACGAUAAAGCGGGUGAAAAGCCCGCUCGCCGGAAGACCAAGGGUUCCUGUCCAACGUUAAUCGGGGCAGGGUGAGUCGACCCCUAAGGCGAGGCCGAAAGGCGUAGUCGAUGGGAAACAGGUUAAUAUUCCUGUACUUGGUGUUACUGCGAAGGGGGGACGGAGAAGGCUAUGUUAGCCGGGCGACGGUUGUCCCGGUUUAAGCAUGUAGGCUGGUUGUCCAGGCAAAUCCGGAUAAUCAAGGCUGAGGUGUGAUGACGAGGCACUACGGUGCUGAAGUAACAAAUGCCCUGCUUCCAGGAAAAGCCUCUAAGCAUCAGGUAACAUUAAAUCGUACCCCAAACCGACACAGGUGGUCAGGUAGAGAAUACCAAGGCGCUUGAGAGAACUCGGGUGAAGGAACUAGGCAAAAUGGUGCCGUAACUUCGGGAGAAGGCACGCUGGUGUGUAGGUGAAGUCCCUGCGGAUGGAGCUGAGACCAGUCGAAGAUACCAGCUGGCUGCAACUGUUUAUUAAAAACACAGCACUGUGCAAACACGAAAGUGGACGUAUACGGUGUGACGCCUGCCCGGUGCCGGAAGGUUAAUUGAUGGGGUUAUCCGUAAGGAGAAGCUCUUGAUCGAAGCCCCGGUAAACGGCGGCCGUAACUAUAACGGUCCUAAGGUAGCGAAAUUCCUUGUCGGGUAAGUUCCGACCUGCACGAAUGGCGUAAUGAUGGCCAGGCUGUCUCCACCCGAGACUCAGUGAAAUUGAACUCGCUGUGAAGAUGCAGUGUACCCGCGGCAAGACGGAAAGACCCCGUGAACCUUUACUAUAGCUUGACACUGAACAUUGAGCCUUGAUGUGUAGGAUAGGUGGGAGGCUUUGAAGCGUGGACGCCAGUCUGCGUGGAGCCAACCUUGAAAUACCACCCUUUAAUGUUUGAUGUUCUAACGUUGGCCCCUGACCGGGGUUGCGGACAGUGUCUGGUGGGUAGUUUGACUGGGGCGGUCUCCUCCCAAAGCGUAACGGAGGAGCACGAAGGUUAGCUAAUCCUGGUCGGACAUCAGGAGGUUAGUGCAAUGGCAUAAGCUAGCUUGACUGCGAGCGUGACGGCGCGAGCAGGUGCGAAAGCAGGUCAUAGUGAUCCGGUGGUUCUGAAUGGAAGGGCCAUCGCUCAACGGAUAAAAGGUACUCCGGGGAUAACAGGCUGAUACCGCCCAAGAGUUCAUAUCGACGGCGGUGUUUGGCACCUCGAUGUCGGCUCAUCACAUCCUGGGGCUGAAGUAGGUCCCAAGGGUAUGGCUGUUCGCCAUUUAAAGUGGUACGCGAGCUGGGUUUAGAACGUCGUGAGACAGUUCGGUCCCUAUCUGCCGUGGGCGCUGGAGAAUUGAGGGGGGCUGCUCCUAGUACGAGAGGACCGGAGUGGACGCAUCACUGGUGUUCGGGUUGUCAUGCCAAUGGCACUGCCCGGUAGCUAAAUGCGGAAGAGAUAAGUGCUGAAAGCAUCUAAGCACGAAACUUGCCCCGAGAUGAGUUCUCCCUGAGACUUUAAGUCUCCUGAAGGAACGUUGAAGACGACGACGUUGAUAGGCCGGGUGUGUAAGCGCAGCGAUGCGUUGAGCUAACCGGUACUAAUGAACCGUGAGGCUUAACCUUACAACGCCGAAG
rnacentral:rRNA from 1 species